UACGUAGGUCCCGAGCGUUGUCCGGAUUUAUUGGGCGUAGAGCGAGCGCAGGUGGCUUAUUAAGUCUGGUGUAAAAGGCAGUGGCUCAACCAUUGUAUGCAUUGGAAACUGGUAGACUUGAGUGCAGGAGAGGAGAGUGGAAUUCCAUGUGUAGCGGUGAAAUGCGUAGAUAUAUGGAGGAACACCGGUGGCGAAAGCGGCUCUCUGGCCUGUAACUGACACUGAGGCUCGAAAGCGUGGGGAGCAAACAGG
rnacentral:rRNA from 1 species